rnacentral:rRNA from 1 species
GAUGAACGCUGGCGGCGUGCUUAACACAUGCAAGUCGAACGAAGCAUUUAAGACGGAUUCUUUCGGGAUGAAGACUUUUAUGACUGAGUGGCGGACGGGUGAGUAACGCGUGGGUAACCUGCCUCACACAGGGGGAUAGCAGUUGGAAACGGCUGAUAAUACCGCAUAAGCGCACAGUACCGCAUGGUACAGUGUGAAAAACUCCGGUGGUGUGAGAUGGACCCGCGUCUGAUUAGCUUGUGCGGGGUAACGCCCACCAAGGCAACGAUCAGUAGCCGACCUGAGAGGGUGACCGGCCACAUUGGGACUGAGACACGGCCCAAA